rnacentral:sRNA from 1 species
GUUGACAAGAGACAUUCCAGCCCACCACUUCCCAAGUAAAGAUUUAAAAUGCAGCAUGAUGGCUAAGGCAAGGGCCUGCAGAAGAAUGUAAAGGAGGGAGGAAGAGCAGGGGAUUCAGAGCAGGAAGGAGGAGACAGUUACUGUCUAUCCCGCAGACGUGGUGCUCUUUGAAGGGAUCCUGGCCUUCUACUCCCAGGAGGUACGAGACCUGUUCCAGAUGAAGCUUUUUGUGGAUACAGAUGCGGACACCCGGCUCUCACGCAGAGUAUUAAGGGACAUCAGCGAGAGAGGCAGGGAUCUUGAGCAGAUUUUAUCUCAGUACAUUACGUUCGUCAAGCCUGCCUUUGAGGAAUUCUGCUUGCCGACAAAGAAGUAUGCUGAUGUGAUCAUCCCUAGAGGUGCAGAUAAUCUAGUGGCCAUCAACCUCAUCGUGCAGCACAUCCAGGACAUCCUGAAUGGAGGGCCCUCCAAACGGCAGACCAAUGGCUGUCUCAACGGCUACACCCCUUCACGCAAGAGGCAGGCAUCGGAGUCCAGCAGCAGGCCGCAUUGACCCGUCUCCAUCGGACCCCAGCCCCUAUCUCCAAGAGACAGAGGAGGGGUCAGGAGGCACUGCUCAUCUGUACAUACUGUUUCCUAUGACAUUACUGUAUUUAAGAAAACACCAUGGAGAUGAAAUGCCUUUGAUUUUUUUUUCUUUUUGUACUUUGGAACGACAAAAUGAAACAGAACUUGACCCUGAGCUUAAAUAACAAAACUGUGCCAACUACUACUGGUGAUGCCUAAUUAUGAAUCCAACGUGUAACCAGUUAUAAAUACAUAUAUAUAU